GUUUAUAAGAACACUGCUCAUUUUCUUCUUUUCCAAACGGACAGAAAGGAAUAAUGAUGCACUGGAAGAUUUAAAAUCUCAAAAGAAAAAAAUACUUGAGGAAGUAAUGGAGAAGGAAACAUACAAGACUGCUAAAUUAAUCCUUGAAAGGUUUGAUCCAGAAUCAAGUGCAAAGGAGGCUGAACUACCAUCUGCUGGAACAUCUGCAACCCCAAGACCUGGACAAGAAAUUCGUCAGAGAACUGCAGCUCAAAGAAAUGCUUCUACAACCCCACCUGUGACUCCUAAACAAGGUUCUCCCAAGUCACCUGUUCCAGCAUCUCCUAAUCUGCAGAGAGACUCAUCAGGUCUGAGCGGAGUCCCAGAAAGAACUGUUGUGCCAUCCUUGCAAUCAAAUGUUUUACCAAGACGCCCUGGAUCCCCUGCUACUUCAGUGCCUGGAAUGGGUCUUCAUCCUCCAGGCCCUCCUUUGGCAAGACCUAUUCUUCCUCGAGAAAGAGGAGUUGUGGAUAGAGUUAUUGAAUAUUUGGUUGGUGAUGGUCCUCAGAACAGGUAUGCCCUUAUAUGUCAGCAAUGCUUUUCCCACAAUGGUAUGGCUUUGAAGGAGGAGUUUGAAUACAUAGCAUUUAGGUGUGCCUACUGCUUUUUCCUGAAUCCUGCAAGAAAAACUAGACCUCAAGCUCCACGACUUCCAGACUUCAGUUUUGAAAAAAGGCGAUCUACGGAAUCGCAAGCUGAAACUGAGCCUCUAGAACCCAGAGAGAAAACGCCCCAGGAGACUGAACAGACAGAAGAAUCUGAAGAUGAUGUGGCCCAGAUCAUUGAGACAAACGAGACAGAUGAUAAAACACCAAGUUCUGAGCAGCUAAAUGAUAAGCUAGCUGAGGAAAUUGAAAAAGAAGAAGCAGAGAACAUUUCAACAACUGAAGACUCUAUUUCAGAGUCUAUUUCAGCUGAACAAAAUGAAGAAUCUUUAAUGAAAACAGAAUAAAGUACUUCAAGUGCCUUCUGUAGCUAGUUUUUAGCUUUGUUCAUGCCUGUUGUUACUAUUCAGAGAAGCUGGAUUUGUAGAAAACUCAAGCAACAAAGACCUUCCAGCUCUUCUGAAGUGGUCUGCCCUAUAAUUCCUUGCGUCAUUUCAAGGAGUUCUACUCACUUGAUGAAACUUAAUUUUGACUUGUUCAGCACUCAAAGAAAAACAUUUUACAAAACCACCAAGAAAAUUAAUUUUAAGAAAACUAUUUUGAAUGAUGUUUUAAAGGAAAUGUGAAAGUUGUUAUUUCUUUAGGAAUGUUUGAACUUGUAUUUUUUGUAUAUUGAGCUUUUAUUUAAACAGGAGAUCCUGUAUAUUUAUAGAUGUUAUUGUUGUAAUAGCCUUGUUGUUACAUUAGCAAAGGGUGUGUGUGUUUAUGUACUAUAAAUAGUAUCUUUAAUCAGAAGUAUCAUUUUAAUCCUAGCUGUGGCCUUGACCAGUAGUUACAUCACCUGCAAUUGAAAUCCCAUUAAAAUCAAUUGCAAAGACAUUAAUUAGUGUGAAUUCUUGGGGUCUAAUAGACUUCAUGAAAUAUCUUAGUUUUUCUGCUUGUAAUUGAGAAAAUAUUUGAAUUUGUGCUCCCCUUUUGAAAUUUACUAUUUGACUAAAUGAAGUAAAUUUUAAAGCAUAUGAAAUUAAAUUAUAUAGCUUGUUGUUUGAAUAUAUGGUGCCUUUGCUUCUCCAGGAUAAAAAAAUCCUGAUUAUGAAGAAGCUAUUUAUUCACUUGAUCUUCAUUUAUGGUUUCAAGGUGAUAAUUCUGUUUAGUAGUUCCUUCUGUGCUGGCUGCACUCAAUCAACAUGAAUUUCAUAGGGUUUUUUUUUUUUUAAGGCCCUUGUGUUACCAAACAAAAAUGAGAGUGGCCCAGCCUUUUUAUUGCAGUCUCCGCCCCCAAGUUGGACAGGCAUAUGUAGGAGAAGAAAGUUGUUCAAGGUUGAGUAGAUGCUGAUAAGACCCAUUUAUCUGUGCUGCAACCAGUUGUGAGAACUCCUGGCUCAUGGCAUGAACAGCCAGCUAUCUACCCUCAAAGAUCCAACUGGCACAGGAUGGCAGAAUUUUGUGGAUGCUGAAGAAGAUGCAGGGAAAACUCAGUAUAAAAAAUAUGUGGCAGCUUCAGAGGGAACUGUGGAGUUUCAAAGAUGCUGAAUUUGGCCCACAGUUACAGAGACAUUUCAGGGUAGAUGUUACAGGUUUUAUCUGAAUGGUGAUUUAUGUCCUUAUUCCUCCAUUAUUGUCCACAAGGUACUGCCCUAUGUCACAGGCUUGUAUUACCUAAUUUUUUUAGACUGUUUCAUUUUCAUUAGUACAGCUGCUUUAGCUUGUGAUCAGUGUACUGCACCUCAUUGAUAAUCUAAGAGGGUAUUAGAUGCACAGAAGUGGCACCUAACCCUGUCAGUCUGGCUUGAUUGACCCCUCAGCUUCCAAAACAUGGGUUCAUUUUUUUUUUUUUUUUUAAGCCCAAGUUAGCCUGCAUCCAUUUUCACACACAUUCUGGGCAGUUUAAAGGUUGGUCGGAUUCGAAUAUUGCUCUUUCAAAUUUGAUAAUGUAUGAGUACAGAACUGUGACCUUUGAUACGUAGUAAUACAUCAACAUGACACAAGCAGUAAGUGCAGCAAUUACCUUUACUACACUUCAGAUUGUGUUUUAGUUCUCAUCUUGUAAGCAAUUAUUUCAGGAAAAAAGGGAUGCCUUUAAGUUAAAUAUAUUUUGCAAAUAGUGUAAAUGCAGAAAUUAAUCUUUGGGGACUUUUUGAUUUACAGGUGAAUGUUUUCAAAUGAAUCUUGGCUUUUAAAUUAACAUUGGUUCCCUGGUAGAAAUGAAUCUUGUGCCACUGGCUUUUAUACUAUUUUUUUUUCUGGAAGAGUAUUUUUAACCAUUUUUGUUGUGUUCUAAUGUAAUCUAAGUUUCACGUUCUAAUUUAUGGCUAAAGUCUGACCCUGCAAGCUGUUGACAUGUCACUGUGUUCAUGUUGCUCCCAUGAUAAUACUCAAUAGUGGGUUAUGUGCAUGGUAAUAAUGCAAGCUUACAUGCUUUUAAAUGCCUUUUAGAACACAAGAGCAUAUCAGACCUGUACCACAUACUGAUUUAAAAUGCUGUUUUUAAAUGUUUUGUCUUUUUCCUGAGCAGAUCAAGAUACUCUUGGUUUAUUUCCAAAUGUUCUUUCUCACCUGUAGUUAUAAAUUAUUUGGAUAAUGAUAGUGCACAACCACUACCUGGUAGCAGUAUAAAACCACAAAUCAGUACUCCUUGCCAAGGAGCAUAAAGCCUUGAGAGGACUGAUAGCAGUUGUGGUUCUGUGGUUCCUCUGUUCUGUGGACUGAAAAAUCAGAAUAAAAUUACUGUAUCAUUCUGAGCAAGCAAUUGAGUAACCAUUGAGUGGUGACUUUCUGUCAAUGCUGUCUGUCACAACCCAAAUUUGAAGGAAUAAUUUGAAGUAGACUUUCUUGUUGGAAAAUAUCUGCUUCUUCAGCAGCCAAGCACUAAGCAGUGUUGGUGUGCUGGACUUAGGCACUGAACUUUAAUUGAGGAGCUGGGAAAACCCUUUGUUCUAUACCGAAGUGAAAUCAACACCUUUUGGAAUGGCUUUCUUUAGGCUGUCAAAAAUCUAAACCCCUAGUCCCCAGUACCAUCUGGCUGUUCUAGGAUCCAGGCCCAGGAGACAGCUGAUCCCAGUGGCCAAUGUGGAAUGGGGACUGAAUAGAGCUAUUCUCUUUCAAGUCUACCAUGAGCAGAGGAGUGAGUGCUUUCACUAGGGUAGCUUUCCCUUUUGAACUCUUGCCUGUGGCAAUUGCUCACUUGCUGUACAUGUGCACUAGUUAUAGAUUGAUAAUAAACCUAAAAACUUUCCUAAUGCAACUCUCAUGGAAGGGUGUCUCUAACAAAUUUUCUCGGUAUUUUCUAGCAAGAGAAAAUUCUUAACUAUCAUGGUGGUGUUUGUUCUUGGGGAGGAAAAUCAAAAGAAAUACAUUAAACCACCAUAUAAAUUACUCCUAAUCAAGCACUUGACCACAGAAAUUGUUUUACAAAGCCGAGAAGAAUGUGCUAGCUGGGGAAAAGGUGCAAACAUGUUUCUGUGCUGUUUCUUGUUUCUUUUGACCUUUACCACGUAAGGGCACUUGGGCCCUUAACUCCUUUAAAAUAAAAAAAACCCAAACCUUAGGCCUUUUUUUUUUUUUUUGCAUGCUUUUAUAAAUUCUAAGUGUUAAUAGUAGUAACUUAUUUGGAAAAAAUACUCAACCUACUUUUGUACAGUGUUUUCCAUCAAAAAAUAUAAAUAGUGUGUACAUGGAAAUCUUGAGUCUGUGCUGCUGAGUUAGCAGAUGAUGGUGGUUACAACAGCUCAGUGGGGAAGUUUGUUUUGCAACUGGAACUCCAUGUUUGUAGGAAAUUCCUUAGACUGAAAGGCUGCCCUUGUGACUGUGGGCAGAGAAGUGCAUUUAUUACUUGACUACAAAUAACAACAGGAGAACAAUGGCAACUGCUCAUUGCAUGUCAGCAUUUGUUGAUUGUUGUUUGCUCAUGCUAAAUUUAUUACUUCUGGUAACAACUUAGGCCUCUUUAGUUCUCUGUAUUGUAUAUUAUUUGCCAUUUUUUAAAAGAGCUGACAACACUGGCAUUCCCCAACAGUAGAAUCCUUUUUAUAAUAUCUAUAAAAUAUUUCCUUUCUCUUAUAUUUUAGAUAAGGAAUACUACUACAGCAAUAUGACUAGAAGUACUUAUUUUUUAGAAAUGCUAGGGUUUUUAUUUGUUUCAGCUAUUUACCUACAUCUAUAUGGUUUUGGGGCUUUUUUUUCAAAUGGUGAAUGACAACCUAGUUGCAGAAAGUAUUGUCUUUUUAGAGUUUAUCUUAAAACUUACCAGUUUGCAAUGAUGAAAACCUCCUGGAAGGAGUUUGUUGGAUUAUUGAACAAAUGGUGAGCAGCUGAAAUUUAUGGACACUUAAUGGAAAGUACUUGACUAAAACGGCAUACAACUCGUUGUGAAUACUCCUGAUAUAUUAUUAUAAGGCGUUACAUUAGCCUAGUCAUGAAGUCUGAUCUAUUUGAUUUUAAAAUCUCAGAUUGUGUUAUGACUAAGUGUAAUGAUUCUCAGAGCUGGAAUAUUGUUAGCCAUUGUGAACAGUACAGAAGGAGCCUCCGGAUGUAUAAUGUAAUAGAUGCAAUUUUGUUUGAAUUUUUUUUCCCAAGGCCAAUUUAAUUUUGAUUUAUUUGCCUCAUUAACCCAAGGAUUCAGAAAAUUGAGUGCCACCUGAGUGAGGUAUUAUUAACGCUAGUGAAAUAUCUUCAAAAUCACUCCAUGCUUAUAAAUUAGUCUUUUGAAAGCAUUUUAAAGGCAUAAUGAUACUGUAGUGAAAAUGUACAGCAUCAUUUAAAAAUCGCAGAAUGCUUAUUUGAUUUCAGAAAUAAGAGUUGGUCACCUGACUUAAAUAUAUACUGAUCUAUUAUUUAUGCUUUGAAAAUAGAGCUGAUAAAAAAGCAUAAGUGUUCUUGAUAUUAUAUUUUGUCAUAUCUAGCUAAAAAGAUUGAAAUCCAGAGAAACAAUUUUCUGAAGAAAUGAAAUAGUAUGCCCUCCUGAACCCCUGGGGAAAAUAGCCUCUCUGGUUGCUCAGAAUACGAAGCAGGAGAACAGUAAAGUAAAACAGACAGCCCAUGUCACAUUCCUAUUUGUACAGUCUGGAAUGAUGUUUUAAAAACAUUUUCUAGUUAUUUUUGAUAAAUAAAUGGUGCAAAUAACAUCUGCAAACCAACCCUGCUGAUGUAAGAUUUUUCAGAUCAGAUUUGUUUGUCAGUGAAAGUUCAGAAAAUUGCUUUGGAAAACUAAGGUUGUAUAACUCCCAAAAAUAUGCAUAACAAAUGUACAAGAAUAUAUCUUGUUCUUCUCUUGCCUUCCCUCAGAGAAACUAAUGCUGAUUCCCCAUUACCUUUGCUUCCGGGCUCAGAAGGUAGCUUGAUGAAAUUAUCAGAUAUCAAAAAGCUCAGUUGCUAAACACAGACAGGUUUAUAAGGUGUUAAGUAGCCGAAUGUUCGUGUUGAUGGUGGGACAUCCAUUUGGAUGUCCAUUUGGAAUCGUGUAUCCUGGUUAAAGCUCUGAGAUUUCCCUCGGAGCCAGUAGUGCUGCACUGAAAACUUAGCUAAGGUUUCUAAGAUCCUUCCACAGGUGCUGCACCAAUGAUCAGGGUGUGUGAGUGACAGAUGUGUGUGGCCUGGCUGUUGCUUUCUUCAGGUUCUGCCAAAGGCUGGUGCACUGAGGAUGAAGGGAAGUUCCUCCAAAUCUUGUGACUCCCAGAAGUGCACUCUCCAGUGUAAGGAUGCUGCUGCCACUCUGAUUUCCAUUACUGACAUAAAAGCUGAGAUGGAAAAACCUUCCUUGGGCAGUAGUAUUGAAUAACCUGAUGCCAUGGCUCUACAAAUGCCCCAUUACCCAAGACUGGCUAAGGCAGCAUGUGUCUGUACAUCUUCCGAAGCACUGCCUGUUGAGGGAGUGUACUUUCAGCUGCAUUUGAGUAAUGUAUGUCUUCAAGGCUCUCUUAUUAUGCUUUGGACUUCUGUGGUCUGCAGAGUUGCUUAAAACCAGCUUUAAUGUUAUUUUUGUACGGAUUCUCAGUCAGUGGACUCCGUGUUGGGCUAAAUUCUGUGAUUAUAUUCACAGAGUACAAGGUGCAUGUAUUUUGUAAAUAUGUAUGUGCUUAAUAGUGACACCCCCUUUCCAAAAAAAAAGAUUUUUUUUUCUUUUUCAGUCUUUAAAAAGUAUUGAUUUAAUAAACUUUUCCCUAUGAGCUUGUACAA